rnacentral:rRNA from 1 species
AGUAACGCGUAUACAAUCUACCUUUUACAGAGGGAUAGCCCAGAGAAAUUUGGAUUAAUACCUCAUAGUAUUUUCGAAUGGCAUCAUUUGAUUAUUAAAGUUCCAACGGUAAAAGAUGAGUAUGCGUCCCAUUAGCUAGAUGGUAAGGUAACGGCUUACCAUGGCAACGAUGGGUAGGGGUCCUGAGAGGGAGAUCCCCCACACUGGUACUGAGACACGGACCAGACUCCUACGGGAGGCAGCAGUGAGGAAUAUUGGACAAUGGGCGCAAGCCUGAUCCAGCCAUGCCGCGUGCAGGAAGACGGUCCUAUGGAUUGUAAACUGCUUUUAUACAGGAAGAAACACUCCCUCGUGAGGGAACUUGACGGUACUGUAUGAAUAAGCAUCGGCUAACUCCGUGCCAGCAGCCGCGGUAAUACGGAGGAUGCAAGCGUUAUCCGGAAUCAUUGGGUUUAAAGGGUCCGUAGGCGGUUUAAUAAGUCAGUGGUGAAAGCCCAUCGCUCAACGAUGGAACGGCCAUUGAUACUGUUAAACUUGAAUUAUUAGGAAGUAACUAGAAUAUGUAGUGUAGCGGUGAAAUGCUUAGAGAUUACAUGGAAUACCAAUUGCGAAGGCAGGUUACUACUAAUAUAUUGACGCUGAUGGACGAAAGCGUGGGGAGCGAACAGGAUUAGAUACCCUGGUAGUCCACGCCGUAAACGAUGGAUACUAGCUGUUCGGAGCAAUCUGAGUGGCUAAGCGAAAGUGAUAAGUAUCCCACCUGGGGAGUACGUUCGCAAGAAUGAAACUCAAAGGAAUUGACGGGGGCCCGCACAAGCGGUGGAGCAUGUGGUUUAAUUCGAUG